CUUGAAAAACUAUAAGAGGUCUAGCCUGCCCAGUGAUAAAAUUAAACGGCCGCGGUACCCUGACCGUGCGAAGGUAGCAUAAUCACUUGUUCUCUAAAUAAGGACUCGUAUCAACGGCAUCACGAGGGUUACACUGUCUCCCCCUUCUAAUCAGUGAAACUGACUUUCCCUGAAGAGGCGGGAAUUAUUCUACAAGACGAGAAGACCCCAUGGAGCUUUAAACCCAAAGGCAACCUUUAUAUUCUUUACUUAAAAAUUCUUAGGCUACUGCCUAUUGGUUUUAGGUUGGGGUGACCGCGGAGUAAAACUUAGCCUCCACGCCGAAUAGACCUUCAUCUUAAUCUCAGAGCUACCGCUCCAAGAAUCAAAAAUUUGACGCAGCCUGAUCCGAUUACUCGAUCAACG
rnacentral:rRNA from 1 species